rnacentral:rRNA from 1 species
CCUACGGUGUGCAGCAGUGAGGAAUAUUGGUCAAUGGGCGAAAGCCUGACGCAGCGACGCCGCGUGAGGGAUGAAGGUCUUCGGAUCGUAAACCUCUGUCAGCAGGGAAGAACGGUCACUGUGCUAAUCAGCAGUGAAUUGACGGUACCUGCAAAGGAAGCACCGGCUAACUCCGUGCCAGCAGCCGCGGUAAUACGGAGGGUGAGAGCGUUAAUCGGAAUUACUGGGCGUAAAGCGCUCGUAGGCGGUAUGUCAAGUCAAGGGUGAAAUCCCCGCGCUCAACGUGGGAACUGACUUUGAACUGGGCAAACGUGAGUGUGUGAGAGGAUAGUGGAAUUCCAGGUGUAGGAGUGAAAUCCGUAGAUAUCUGGAGGAACAGCAGUGGAGAAGGCGACUAUCUGGCACAUAACUGACGCUGAGGAGCGAAAGCGUGGGUAGCAAACAGGAUUAGAUACCCUUGUAGUC